GACGAACGCUGGCGGCGUGCUUAACACAUGCAAGUCGAACGGAGAAUUUUAUUUCGGUGAAAUUCUUAGUGGCGAACGGGUGAGUAACGCGUAGACACCCUACCUCUCAGAUGGGGACAACAUCGCGAAAGCGGUGCUAAUACCGAAUGAUGUAACUUUUCUGCAUGGAAGAGUUACCAAAGGCGGCCUCUAUUUAUAAGCCGUCACUGAGAGAUGGGUCUGCGUCUGAUUAGCUAGUUGGCGGGGUAAUGGCCCACCAAGGCGACGAUCAGUAGCCGGUCUGAGAGGAUGAACGGCCACAUUGGGACAGAGACACGGCCCAAACUCCUACGGGAGGCAGCAGUGGGGAAUCUUCCGCAAUGGACGAAAGUCUGACGGAGCAACGCCGCGUGAGUGAAGAAGGUUUUCGGAUCGUAAAGCUCUGUUGUUUGAGACGAACGUGCAAUUUUUGAAUAAGGAAUUGUAAUGACGGUAUUAAACGAGAAAGCCACGGCUAACUACGUGCCAGCAGCCGCAGUAA
rnacentral:rRNA from 1 species